rnacentral:rRNA from 1 species
GAACUUAAGCAUAUCAAUAAGCGGAGGAAAAGAAACCAACAGGGAUUGCCCCAGUAACGGCGAGUGAAGCGGCAACAGCUCAAAUUUGAAAUCUGGCCCCCAGGGCCCGAGUUGUAAUUGCAGAGGAUGCUUUUGGCGCGGUGCCUUCCGAGUUCCCUGGAACGGGACGCCAUAGAGGGUGAGAGCCCCGUCUGGUCGGACACCAAGCCAGUGUAAAGCUCCUUCGACGAGUCGAGUAGUUUGGGAAUGCUGCUCUAAAUGGGAGGUAUAUGUCUUCUAAAGCUAAAUACCGGCCAGAGACCGAUAGCGCACAAGUAGAGUGAUCGAAAGAUGAAAAGCACUUUGAAAAGAGGGUUAAACAGUACGUGAAAUUGUUGAAAGGGAAGCGUUUAUGACCAGACUUGGGCCCGGUGAAUCAUCCAGCGUUCUCGCUGGUGCACUUCGCCGGGCCCAGGCCAGCAUCAGUUCGCCGCGGGGGAUAAAAGCUUCGGGAACGUGGCUCCCUCGGGAGUGUUAUAGCCCGUUGCAUAAUACCCUGUGGCGGACUGAGGUUCGCGCUCCGCAAGGAUGCUGGCGUAAUGGUCAUCAGCGACCCGUCUUGAAACACGGACCAAGGAGUCGUCUUCGUAUGUGAGUGUUCGGGUGUAAAACCCCUACGCGUAAUGAAAGUGAACGCAGGUGAGAGCUUCGGCGCAUCAUCGACCGAUCCUGAUGUUCUCGGAUGGAUUUGAGUAAGAGCAUACGGGGCCGGACCCGAAA